GAAACGUGUGUUAAACUUAAUACACACAUUUCAAUGGGAUGUCGUUGGACUUGUACUUAUGACGGUUUCAUGAAACGCUGCCCAGAUCCCCGACACCGAACACCUGGGGAGGUUUCACGAAACCGUCAUUAAGUCUAACUUUUUAGACAUCGUAUUGAAACGUGUGAUAGAGAUCUAACACGUGUUUCUACCAAAUCUCCACGAGCUUAGACUUAUGGCAGUUUCGAGAAACUAGCACUCGCUCUGAAUCUGGCGCAUCCACGGCCACGCUGGAAGCUCGGAUCUGACCCGCCUGCGAUGCAUGCCCCGGACGCGACGGCAGCCCGCUCUCGAGCUAACUCUCCAUCGCAUCGUGCAGCUGUCUUUCUUCUCUUUCACGAACACGGUUGCCCGACUGAAACAACUAGACCACAUUAGUAUCCUGACAUCAAGAUAGGUCUCUAUUAUGUGCCCAUCCGUCUGAUUAAGUCUUCUUUGGAGCAAACUGUCAGACAUUUGCGGUAGUAUACAGCUGAAAUGGAAUUUCCGUUCAACCAAACAGUAUACUUCAAGGCUAUUUCUCAGCGACGAGGGUUAGCUCCAGGUAGCAGUAGCAGGCUGGAAGUAACACACAUGUGCAGUGUUUCAGUCGAAAACGAAUACCACCCAUUCAAAAUCGGUUAUAGGAUCUUGUCCAUAUGUCCAUAUUUUUGUAUGCAUGUGAAACAUGGACCAUGACAGCAGACAUUAAAAGAAGGAUACAGGCACUGGAGAUGAAAUGUUUCCGCAAACUCCUCAGUAUCUGGUAUAGAGAUCACAUAACCAACGAGGUAGUGAAAAUCAGAAUUGGAAACACCAUAGGGCCGUAUGAAGACCUCCUGACUUCAGUGAAAAGAUGCAAAGUAAAGUGGUAUGGGUAUGUCACAUGAUCAUUUGGACUGGCCAAGACUAUUCUACAUGGAACAGUACAAGGAGGGAGACGAAAAGGCAGGCAGAGGAAACGAUGGGAAGACAACAUUAACGAGUGACCUUGACUGAAACAUCAUACUUCGUAAAGCCAAGAACCACGAGGAGUGGAGGAAGCUGGUAGUAUAAAUCUUCAGUGGUGCCCCAAGGGUCAGCCAGACUGUGGGAUAGGUGAAGGUGAAGGUGAAGGAAGCUAAGAAUCAGAUAGUUAGACAUUAUAUUGGAUCAUUUAUCCUUUCCUUCAAAAGGAAUGUUGCUUUAUACUGUAGCACAUAAACAAUGCUUUUUAAUUGGCAAUAUUUCAGUUCAGUACGCUUGUUAUUAAUUUCAUCAAACAUUAAAAUGUAAAAGGGAGAAACACUGUCA